GAUGAACGCUAGCUACAGGCUUAACACAUGCAAGUCGCGGGGCAGCAUGGGGGUUGCUUGCAAUCCCCGAUGGCGACCGGCGCACGGGUGAGUAACGCGUAUCCAACCUGCCCUUCACCACGGGAUAACCCGGCGAAAGUCGGACUAAUACCGUAUGUUGUCCAUUGACGGCAUCCGAUUUGGACGAAAGGUUUGGCGGUGAAGGAUGGGGAUGCGUCCGAUUAGCUGGACGGCGGGGUGACGGCCCACCGUGGCGACGAUCGGUAGGGGUUCUGAGAGGAAGGUCCCCCACACUGGAACUGAGACACGGUCCAGACUCCUACGGGAGGCAGCAGUGAGGAAUAAUGGUCAAUGGGCGUAAGCCUGAACCAGCCAAGUAGCGUGCAGGAUGACGGCCCUAUGGGUUGUAAACUGCUUUUAUGCGGGGAUAAAGUGGCCCACGUGUGGGUUUUUGCAGGUACCGCAUGAAUAAGGACCGGCUAAUUCCGUG
rnacentral:rRNA from 1 species